rnacentral:misc_RNA from 1 species
AAAAAAAAAAAAAAAAAAAAGUGUCAAUGGUUGUUGUACGUCAGCCAUUCUUAAAUGCUCUGUUUCAGGCUCUCAGCUUUGAAGAAUUGCAAAUGGGUUCCUUUUUUUCCUUGCUUGUUCUGUUUCUGACGAUUUCUCCUCCACAUUCAUGUUCACCAACGUCUCAAAACACUUUGAGCAUAGGCUUCUCCCUCUCUGUGGAGGAUCUAGAUCACUUGUUGAUUUCACCUAAAGGAAAAUUCUCCGCUGGUUUUUAUCCUGUUGGAAAUAAUGCUUACUGCUUUGCCAUAUGGUUCACCCAACCUUCAUGCUCUAGGGAUCGUGAUUGUGUUCUAGUAUGGAUGGCGAACCGUGACGUACCAGUUAAUGGGAGACUUUCAAAGCUAUCCCUACUCAAAACUGGUAAUCUUGUCCUCACUGAUGCUGGUCGAUCACCCGUUUGGUCAGUCACUAAUACUGCUUCGCUUUUUUUCAUUGCGUCUGGAACUAUACGACUCAGGCAAUCUUGUUCUACACGACUUGAAUGGUAUUAUUUCAUGGCAAAGCUUUGAUUCACCCACAGAUACUCUCCUUCCCCAACAACUCUUCACCAGAAACACUCAGCUCAUUUCGUCAAGAAGCAGUUGGAACUUUUCUACGGGGUUUUACAAGUUCUAUUUCGACAACGAUAAUGUUCUCCGUCUUCUUUAUGAUGGGCCUGAGAUCUCAAGCGUUUUCUGGCCAGAUCCUGGGUCUUUGCCCUGGGAAGAGCAGAGAUCUACGUACAACAGCAGUAGAAUUGCCAUGCUCGAUUCCUUGGGUAAUUUUUCUUCUACUGAUAAUUUCACUUUUUUCUCUGCUGAUUACGGAGAGAAGCUCCAAAGAAGAUUGAAGCUUGAUUUCGACGGUAAUCUUCGCUUGUACAGUCGAGAAGAGGGAAAUGGGUCUUGGGUUAUUUCAUGGCAGCUCAGUUCUCAGCCAUGCAUUGUUCAUGGAAUUUGUGGACCCAAUAGUGUUUGUUCCUAUGAUCAUCGCUCUGGUAGGAUGUGUUCUUGCAUUCCAGGGCAUAACAUUGUAAACCAUACGGACUGGUCUUAUGGUUGUGAACCGGAAUUUAAACUUUCAUGUUCGAGUAGCGAUGCUAUUUUCCUUAAACUCCGUCAUGUUGAAUUUUAUGGGUAUGAUUUCGGUUUCUAUCCUAAUACCACCUUCGACGAAUGUAGAAACAAAUGCUUGCAGAGAUGCGAUUGCAAAGGAUUCCAAUUUAAAUUUAUCAAGCACGACCAUCCUAGUGAUAUUCCUUAUUGUUUCGCCAAGACGCUCUUGCUAAAUGGACAGCGUUCGCCCAACUUUGAAGGAGAUCUAUAUUUGAAAGUGCCUAAGGAAAGACAGCUCUCCGAUGACUGGACUGUUGACGAAUUCAACUCCUUUAUUUGUAACAGCACCCAUAAUGUUAUCGAGCUGGAAAGAAAGUACGUGAUAAAUCAUAAGGCUUGGUCUGUGAAGUUCUUGCUUUGGUUUGCAAUUGGGGUUGGAGUAUUCGAGAUUUUGGGCAUAAUUUUGGUGUGGGCUUUGUUGCUAAGAAACCAGUUGAACAGAGGCGAAAUCACACAAGGCUACGUUCAGGCCGCGACUGGUUUCAAAAGGUUUACCUAUGCAGCACUGAAGAAGGCAACACGAAAUUUCAAAGAAGAAAUUGGAAAAGGAGCGGGAGGAAUCGUGUAUAAAGGCAAAUUAUCAGAUGAUCGAGUUGCAGCAAUUAAGCGACUAAAUGAAGCUCACCAAGGAGAAGCUGAAUUUCUAGCAGAAGUAAGCACCAUUGGAAAGGUUAAUCACAUGAACCUAAUAGACAUGUGGGGAUAUUGUGCUGACGGGAAGCAUAGACUUUUGGUUUACGAGUACAUGGAGCAUGGAUCCUUAGCAGAAAACCUCUCUUCCAAAGCACUUGAUUGGAAGAAGAGAUUUGAAAUUGCCGUGGGCACUGCUAAAGGAUUGGCUUAUUUGCAUGAAGAAUGCUUAGAGUGGGUUCUGCACUGUGAUAUAAAGCCACAAAACAUUCUCUUGGGCUCGGAUUACCAGCCAAAGGUGUCAGACUUUGGUCUAUCCCGUUUGAUAAGUAGAGUUAAAACUGAGAAUUCAGGCUUCUCAAAAUUGAGAGGAACCAGAGGUUACCUGGCCCCUGAGUGGAUUUUCAAUCUACCCAUCACCUCUAAAGUGGAUGUCUAUAGCUAUGGAAUUGUUGUGCUGGAAAUGGUAACAGGAAAGAACCCGGCAAUGGAUGUUGAAUAUGUUGACAAUGGUGAGAAUGUGGAGCAAAAAGGUUUAGUAGCAUGGGUGAGGGAGAAAAAGUCUGGAGCAGCUGCAAAGGAAUCCUGGGUUAGAGAGAUAAUAGAUCCCAUAAUGGGAAAUGAUUAUGACACCGAUAAAUUAGAAAUUCUAGCUGAAGUUGCUUUGCAGUGCGUAGAGGAAGACAGAGAUGCAAGACCCAACAUGGGCCAAGUAGUUGAGAUGCUUUUGCGUGAUGAAAAUCAUCCUUAACUACAGAGGCCCUGCUUCUACUAAUUUCUUGAGUCUUAGUUUUUCUUUGUAUGUUGACUUGGCUAUAAUUUGCUUUCUCUCUUCCUGCCUAGAUAAUGCAUUAUGUCUAUCCGAAGCAACAAUUGGGAUGAGAUCGAUGAGUCUCAGAUGUACAAUAAAUAAUUUGCUUUAGGAAUGCUUUUAUGUUUUAUCCUAUUUACAUGUAUUAAUCUGAUGACGCAUAUGGAGCUACAAAAUAUUACUUGGAGCUUUAAGAAAUCAGUGGAUUUUGAGCUCUAAAUAUUUUCUUUUUA